UCCGGCCAUCCCCCACGCCUCACCUUCUCCCUCGGCUCCGGCCAUCGCCCCACGUCCCACCUUCUCCCUCGGCUCCGUUCGCCGCCCAAUCCCCCACCAUCUCGUGCCCCUAGCCGCGCCCCAUCCCCAUCCCCAGUGCCAGCCGCCCCCAUUCGCAGCGCGCCAACCCCUAGGUCGCCACCUGCCUCAUCGCGACGCCGCCCACUGCCCUUCCUCCUGGCUUCUCCCAGCCAUGGCGAGCGCCUCCUCCCUGCUCCAAGCUCGCUGCAGACUACACAAAGCCGCCAGCCCCCACCGCCUCCCGUUCCAGUACAACGCCGCCCCUGCACAAGGUUCAAAGAACUUAUAGUGACAAGGAAGGGAGAUGCUAAGGUCCGGCAGCUUCCUCGUUGCCAUCUUGGUCAUGGCUUUGCUGAGGCACACCUCACACUGCUUCUCCUCGCUGGCUAGUUGACCGACAAGAGAUCAACUCAAACAAAAAUUACCCAAGGUGAAACUAAACUGAAAUAGUGAUGCUUGAUGAAAGCCUUCUCCUACCUACAAGUUAAGAAAAUCUGAUCCCGAAUAUCGUGUCUGUGUUUAUGUCAGUAAACAGAUACUCGAAAUACACCGAAUAUUCAGUUCUUCUUGCAGAGGGGCUGACGCUGCUUCUUAUACCAAGAUUUUAAUUCUGCCAUGUAGUUUUUCUCUUUACUUUUGUGGGGGAAAACCCCGAAUGGAGUCAUGCAGCAUAACACCACUUUGUAGGCUUUUUUUUGUUUUUUUAGUUCAUCAUACAGCUCACCUUGUAGGAUUUAUUACAUAUUUAUAGCUUUGUGUAUGGAACCUGUAAGUUCAAGAUUGGCAAUAGAUUCAGUUCUUGUAGUACAAGCGUCCUAUAGUUCAGUGACAUCUCCAAUUGAUAUAGUUGUCUUGAAUCUCCGGUCGAUUGUUGCUCAGCUUCCUCGCAAUUUACUCAAUCUCGUUCUGCUCCAAAGCAUGCUUCAGUUCAACAAAAAGCUCCCGAAAAGUUCAGAGUUCACAGGAGUCACUUCAGGUUGGCUCUUUUUUAUUCGCCGAUUUGGGAUAAAGCAGGGAGAGAUAAGCAGGUCACCCAGCCGCCGCUUGUGAUCCCCGCUCCUUCAGCUCGACUUCCCGGCGCCGUCAGUCCACAGGAGUAGGAGCGGCGUGCCAGUCAACAAACAACAACAGAAGUUCAGUGUGUAUUUUAAGAACAAAAACCAACAAUGGCGGCUGCACUGGAGCCGCAGGACUACUAUUGCUGAUAGGUUUGUGAACUAAUAAACAUUCUUUUUAUGUUCCUGUGAUGUUUCAUAUUUUUGUGAACUGAUAGUUGAUGCUCUUUGUGGACUGAUAGCUGAUACUUUUUGGUAACCGAUAAACUGAAUAAAUGAGAUGGAUGUAUUAUUAGGCCAUGAAAAUGAUGUAAAAGAUAUGUGCAGUUCGGCGGAUGAGUAUUAUGUAUGUCCUUCUAAUCUGAAGGUAGUGGCACCACUAAGAAAAACAAAAUAAUCAGUUUUUUGUAGCCACGGAAUGGGCAUUUGGCUCAGUAAUCUUCCAUAGCUAGAGGUACUGCUUCUUGAGUUAAAUUAUGAAACAGAAAUCAUCCUUUUUAUGUUUUCGUGUUGUCAAAUAAAACCAAUUUUUUGGACAUGCAGCGCUCAACCCGUUCACCCUUACCACCACAACCCGUUCACCUCUGCCACACGAGGCCAUGCGACGACGCAACUAUCAGAACAUUCACCUCUGCCACAGGAGGCUGAUGCAACGCUAAGAAUGUUUUGUUCUUUUUCAGUACAUGUUUUGUGUGCUUUUUAGUACACCUACUGAACAAUUCUAUGUCCAAUUUCCCCUGUUUAAGUGAUCUUCCUAUAGCACAACAGGAGUUGUGUGUUAUGCUUAAUAAGCAUUUGAGAAAACCGUGUAUGGAUCGAAACUAGCAUAUGUUCUGUUCUAUUCUUGUAAA